rnacentral:rRNA from 1 species
CCUACGGGAGGCAGCAGUGGGGAAUAUUGGGCAAUGGGCGAAAGCCUGACCCAGCAACGCCGCGUGAAGGAAGAAGGCUUUCGGGUUGUAAACUUCUUUUGACAGGGAAGAGCAGAAGACGGUACCUGUCGAAUAAGCCACGGCUAACUACGUGCCAGCAGCCGCGGUAAUACGUAGGUGGCAAGCGUUGUCCGGAUUUACUGGGUGUAAAGGGCGUGUAGCCGGGCUGACAAGUCAGAUGUGAAAUCCGGGGGCUCAACCCCCGAACUGCAUUUGAAACUGUUGGUCUUGAGUAUCGGAGAGGCAGGCGGAAUUCCUAGUGUAGCGGUGAAAUGCGUAGAUAUUAGGAGGAACACCGGUGGCGAAGGCAGCCUGCUGGACGGCAACUGACGGUGAGGCGCGAAAGCGUGGGGAGCAAACAGGAUUAGAUACCCCGGUAGUC